GUCGAACCUGCGCUAGCAGAAAGACCCGCGAACACGUUUACAAAACAUGCGAGGCGGGGGCGCGGCCUCCGCGUCCCCGCCGCGCNCCAACCCAACCCCGGCGCGGAUUGCGCCAAGGACCAUGAACAAAAGCGCGCCCCGCGGCCCCGGUCCUCCGGCGGCCGCGGCGGCGUCGUGUCGUUUCUACUUAACAAAACGACUCUCGGCAACGGAUAUCUCGGCUCUCGCAUCGAUGAAGAACGUAGCGAAAUGCGAUACUUGGUGUGAAUUGCAGAAUCCCGUGAACCAUCGAGUCUUUGAACGCAAGUUGCGCCCGAAGCCCUCGUGGCCAGGGCACGUCUGUCUGGGCGUCACGCACCGCGUCGCCCCCACCCCCUCUCCUCGGAAAGGCGGGAUCGGGGCGGAGACUGGCCCCCCGCGCUCGCNGCAUCUCUUGCGACGGGCGCGGCCGGCCUAAACGCAGACCCCGCGGCCGCGAAACGGCGCGACGAUUGGUGGAGUAGUCCCUACGCAUCGCGUCGCGUCCCGAGCGGCCCGUGAGGGCCACGGAGACCCUUAAACGAAACCGUUGCGACCCCAGAUCAGGCGGGACUACCCGCUGAGUUUA
rnacentral:rRNA from 1 species